UAGGGAAUCUUCCGCAAUGGGCGAAAGCCUGACGGAGCAACGCCGCGUGAGUGAUGAAGGUCUUCGGAUCGUAAAACUCUGUUAUUAGGGAAGAACAAAUGUGUAAGUAACUAUGCACGUCUUGACGGUACCUAAUCAGAAAGCCACGGCUAACUACGUGCCAGCAGCCGCGGUAAUACGUAGGUGGCAAGCGUUAUCCGGAAUUAUUGGGCGUAAAGCGCGCGUAGGCGGUUUUUUAAGUCUGAUGUGAAAGCCCACGGCUCAACCGUGGAGGGUCAUUGGAAACUGGAAAACUUGAGUGCAGAGGAGGAAAGUGGAAUUCCAUGUGUAGCGGUGAAAUGCGCAGAGAUAUGGAGGAACACCAGUGGCGAAGGCGACUUUCUGGUCUGUAACUGACGCUGAUGUGCGAAAGCGUGGGGAUCAAACAGG
rnacentral:rRNA from 1 species